GGGAAUAUUGGACAAUGGGCGAAAGCCUGAUCCAGCAAUGCCGCGUGUGUGAAGAAGGUCUUCGGAUUGUAAAGCACUUUCGACGGGGACGAUGAUGACGGUACCCGUAGAAGAAGCCCCGGCUAACUUCGUGGCAG
rnacentral:rRNA from 1 species